CCGUCCACAAUGCUGAGGUCUGACCUUGGUGGAAGUGGGGUGCUGCUUAACUUUUCUUCUGAGACAUAGUCCAACCAUAAUCCACCCUGCAAGCCCGGAGCAGCAGUCAAGAGUGUCCAAAUGAUUUCCCCCAAAUCUGGGCACACAGAUGAGUGCCCCUGUGAGCAAAUCGCCUCCCAGCCUGCCCAGAGUCACCUAGGCUGCCUGCAAAUGGUGUUUCAGAGCAAGGUAGGGGACCUUUGGAGGAGUGAAUGCAAACAGCUGUCUGGACAAGUGGUGCCCUAACUGGUAGAGCCAAGAGACAGAAGCACAGAAUGGGCAGACUGCGCUGGUAGAGUGAGGCGCACAGGUGAUGGACCCUCAGGGCAGACGUGCACUCUCUGAGGCUAAUUUUAAAAGAGAUGAAAAUAUAUGGCUGGAAGGGACCCAGGCGACAACAUCUGCAGGACCUUGCUCCCUUCUGUCUGUUCAGAAUGUUUUGGAACAAUCUCCGGAGGCCUCACUCCCCGUACCUGCUUUGAGUCCGUGACUCAGAUAAAAACUGGAGACGUUAAGAAAUUGAUAUUUAAGGAGAUCCAGCCAGAGGAUGAUGGAGAUGGCCUUGAACCCUGAUCUUCAGCCGGCAAAGUCUGCAUUUGCCAGGGCCAUGUUGCUCUGCCACGUGGCCCUCAGAGGCUGAGGUUUCAGCGGCAGGACAUGUGCAUGGGCGGGCAAUUGCGGCCCACGUUUUGACGUUUCUGGCUUGGAGGUGGGGACAGAGUUCUCUGGCGCCCACACAACGGAGUGCAGUCACCCUAAAGAGGAGCAUUUAGAAGCUGCAAAACCUAAAUGCGCUGCCAUGCACCCUUACAUCGCACAGCAUCAGCUCUGCCCAGUCUGUUCCACCUUCUGCAAGUUCAAGGGAAGAGUCCAGAGCCAGGAUCACAUCGGGUUUCGCCCUGGGCCUGCAGCUCCGGGCCUCGGAAGCCAGUAAUUCCUUAUCCAGAGCCUGGGAAACUGAAAGUGACCUUCAACACUUGGACACCUGAGAACCAUCACCUAACAGGGUCCUCAGGAGACAGUGCACUAGAGCAAAGGAGCAUGGAAGAGGCACUUUUGUUCCCUUACCUACCAAGGAAGGGGACAGAAUAGCCAGAGGAAAUGAGGCCUUUGGAAACUCCAGAAUGGGGAUUUGAGAACAAUGCAGCCUUCUGGAAGCUGGAGUGCUAAGGGAAGUUACCUUCCGUUGCUACAGGAAGAGUGAGCACAGCAAUGUGCCUGUGGGACCUCUGGCCAGGCUCUGCGGCAGCAGCAGGAGGACAGCAACCUGGGGAAGAAGAGGUGAUUUCAUUUGGUAGGACUCGGAACUUGGGUUGGAGCAAGACCAGACGCCCCACUGUUGGGUUGUCUGUAUUAAAAGCCUCCUCAGCCCCAGGCUUGAUGACCAGCCUCUAUUACUCAGAAGAACUUGUGCAACUCCCUGCUUCUUUAUAUUCAAGCGUCAGCAUGUUUGACCUUUGUUUGCAAUCCAGAACCUGCCUGGGAUUUUACAGAACAAAAACCCAGCUUCAUUCUGAAAAUGAAAUGACAGCUGAUCACUGGAAAGCAGCCCACAGCCCAGAUCCCCACGUUAGCGCAAUCUGAAGUCAAAGUUUCCACCUGGAUGAUUCCAAUGCCAGCUUGACACCUUGCGAGGAGUGAGCCGGAUUGUUUGGGGAGAGUCCUGCGGAGAGAAGGUGACAGAGUGCCCUGUGAGGGACCGAGAGCAGAAGGAAUGAGGACCUGGGCCAGGCUGUGGAAGAAAGAACAGGAAAAGAGCAGAAUCUACCUGAUUUGGCAACUAACUGGGUGCAGGAGGAUUGAAGAACGUUCUGGCAAGAUGGCAACUUGGGUGUGUCCGAGCGUUCCUCCAGGGCACACCCCUCUCCUGAGCCUGAGCCAGCUGGAGUCGGCAGGCAGUUCUGUAUUUUCUAAGAGGACUUGAUCCUGUCUUCUGUCAGGUCAGCAGUCUGUUCUCAGUUCUUGGUGUGGUCUGGCCAAAGAAUGACCAGACACCCUGAAAGUAAGAAAGCGAUCAACAAUCUACUGGACAUUUGGAUUUCAGCAGGCAUGAAAUACAGGGUGGAGAUUGGUAAGAGAGAAAUCUGAAAAGUUUGAGAGGUGGAAGAAAGUUAGAACUUGAAUGAACCACAGACUGGAGGAGCAACAGGACCAGCCAGCUUGGGAGGGUUUGCGUCCUUGUGCCACCAGGAGAUGACGGUGGGAGGAAGCUUAUCUCUGUGAGUGUCUGCUUUUAAACGUGUAAAAUGAAAACAAUCAUGCCAACUUUCAAAUAAAUGAUAACUGAAGAAGCUGUUUCCGUGGGAGUCUUUGGGAAGCUCUAAACACAAGUGGGAAGUUUUGGAUGCCAGGGGCAGACAGCGGUGCCAAUGGGGAAGAUUCCCUGCCUCCUGCACUGACUGCUGUCCUGCUCUGGCACCCGGAGCAUUAGAAGCUUUGGGACACAGGUGGUAGCCUUCACCAUGGUUAUUAGCUACAGGGCUCAUGUGAGAAGCAGAGUGACAGAGGAGCGAGGCAGGUAUUCCUGGUGACUGGUCUGACAAUUUGGCCCUUGAGCACAUGGGGACAUCUCUGGGGACCUUUAGAUAUACCAUGGGGUGUGUGGGACGUUGGGGUGCUGGAGGUCUUUAUGAGCAGUGGAACAAGGAUAGGAAAUUCGGGUUAAGGUAUAAUAGCAAAAGUGACCUUGUUUAUACCCACGGGCUGCUGAGCCCUGGAGAGUGUCCGGAUGACACAGACAUCAUGUCUUCAGUGGUGCAGACGAGUCAAACAACACUGAGAGCAACAGCGAGGAAGACAGUUUUUGAGGUGGGUGGUGGUGGACAGGGUCACGUGGGAGAAGCCUGCCUUAGACCUGAACUUGCUGAUUCCAUCUGCAGGAAGACAUUUUCUUGUUGUGUUAUCUGGAGAUGACCCAACGGCCUGGAGUUCACUCCAUCUAUGCAAAAGAGGAUGCAUCUUCAAAUAAAAGAUGAAAAAGCAAGUUGGGUUCAGGGAGUUUCUCAAAAAGCAAGUUCUAGCAUCAACAGCUGUGCAGUGUGCAGUGUAGGGCCAUCUGGAAGGGACGACCCUGCUCACAGCUCCUGUAGUGGCACCCAGCCAUGGAUCCCACCCCAGCCUGGAUCUUGGCUGGCGUGGUGGCUAUCCCCAGUCAGCAGGGGGAGGCUGUGGUGUGUCCAACGAAUCUAGUUCCGGAAGACAAGAAAGUAUAUGGCACAUGCUUGAUAAUAGAUGAGUCUUAAGGCCCUUUCAACCUCGGAAUUUAUUUAUUCUAUAAUUUGUAUAAGAGUGUAAGACACUACAACUUUGGACUUUUAUCCACAGAGAAAGCUAAGCUAUCCCAAAUUGCAUAUUUCAAAAGUUAUCAAGUAAGAAAAAAGGCAAAGACAAAUCAAAAUACUGAAGGCCUCUGGUGUCUAAAAGAGCCAUUCACA